rnacentral:rRNA from 1 species
CCUACGGGUGGCUGCAGUGGGGAAUAUUGGACAAUGGGGGCAACCCUGAUCCAGCCAUGCCGCGUGUGUGAAGAAGGCCCUCGGGUUGUAAAGCACUUUCAGUGAGGAAGAACGCCUGGUGGUUAAUACCCAUCAGGAAAGACAUCACUCACAGAAGAAGCACCGGCUAACUCCGUGCCAGCAGCCGCGGUAAUACGGAGGGUGCGAGCGUUAAUCGGAAUUACUGGGCGUAAAGCGCGCGUAGGUGGCUUGGUAAGCCGGUUGUGAAAGCCCCGGGCUCAACCUGGGAACGGCAUCCGGAACUGUCAAGCUAGAGUGCAGGAGAGGAAGGUAGAAUUCCCGGUGUAGCGGUGAAAUGCGUAGAGAUCGGGAGGAAUACCAGUGGCGAAGGCGGCCUUCUGGACUGACACUGACACUGAGGUGCGAAAGCGUGGGUAGCAAACAGGAUUAGAUACCCCAGUAGUC